rnacentral:lncRNA from 1 species
UUUAAUCUGACACUCUCCAUCCUAAUGCUUAUUUGUUUUCCCUUAGUACUCACAAUAGUUUCUCUUCUUCAACUUUUGAUAAAGUGCUACUAAUAAUUGCUGGGCUUUUAUUUCCUUGACUUAGAAAAACAUAUUUCAGAUGUUCUAGGAGUUCUUUUAGUUCAGGGUCUAUUGGUUUUUCCUCACAACUUCCUCCCAAUUCUUCAAGUUUCUUAUAAGC